GCCGUCACAUCGCUAGAUUGUCUUCGACGAGUCGAGUUGUUUGGGAAUGCAGCUCAAAAUGGGUGGUAAAUGUCAUCUAAAGCUAAAUAUUGGCGAGAGACCGAUAGCGCACAAGUAGAGUGAUCGAAAGAUGAAAAGCACUUUGAAAAGAGAGUCAAAAAGUACGUGAAAUUGCUGAAAGGGAAGCGCUUGAGACCAGACUCGAACCGUGGCGAUCGCCCGCGCUUCUGCGCAGGUGUCACUUGCCACGGUUUGGGCCAGCAUCGGUUCUGGCGGCCGGAUAAAAGGUGGGGGAAUGUAGCUUCCUUCGGGGAGUGUUAAUUAGCCCGACGACCAGAAUGCGGCCAGCCGGGACCGAGGGAUAUCGCGCUUCGCUGAAGCUAGGAUGCUGGCGUAAUGGUCUUAAGCGACCCGUCUUGAAACACGGACCAAGGAGUCUAACAUCUAUGCGAGUGUUCGGGUGGAAAACCCUUGCGCGAAAUGAAAGUGAACGGAGGUGGGAACCCGCAAGGGUGCACCAUCGACCGAUCCUGAAGUCUUCGGAAGGAUUUGAGUAGGAGCACAGAUGUUGGGACCCGAAAGAUGGUGAACUAUGCCUGAAUAGGGUGAAGCCAGAGGAAACUCUGGUGGAGGCUCGCAGCGGUUCUGACGUGCAAAUCGAUCGUCAAAUUUGGGUAUAGGGGCGAAAGACUAAUCGAACCAUCUAGUAGCUGGUUCCUGCCGAA
rnacentral:rRNA from 1 species